GUCAAGGUCCUCCAUCCCUCACACUCAUAUAUUAGAGAAAUUUCUCAAAUCAAACCUUCUCCCUCUUUCUCUCUCUCUCUCUCUAAACUCUCUUUCUCUUCUCCUAUCUACAUCUCUUUCUCUCUCUAAAAUGUUCUCUCUCUAAAUAACAGUCUUGAUUUUCCAAAUUGUUCCCAUGCCCACCACCACCACCGCUAUGCCCAUACUUGUCUCCAAUCUCUGAUCUUCUUGUUGGAAACGUAUGGUGGAAGGAUCGAACGUCACUACAGUCCUUAGAUCGGCCAAAUCCUAGCUCCAUGUAGUCUUUUCUAGAGAGCAACCUUUCCUUGUUUCUCUCUGCGAAGUUAUGCUUCAGUGGUUCGGUGAAAUCUCCGAUUAGCUACAUCUCUCACUCUUCUUCUUCUUCUUCUCCUCUAGGUGCUAUCAAUCCUUAUGUUGGGCCAGUCUAUACAGAGCUUUGCUCUGGCUUUGGUCGAGAUGAACGGUGGAAUUGGUCGAGGUACGCGCAAACUGGUCCGGACAUCCUGAGUUAUCAAAAAUAUAUAUAUAUAUAUAUAUAUAUAUAUGCCUCUAAUAAAUGGAGACGUGAAACUAUUUUUGAACCAACCACCAACCAAAUUCCAAUCAUGUGUAUAUCUAUUCGGUUCCGGGGAACUUCUUCAAUGCUUCAAUGUCUGUGGCUAUUUCUUUUCUACUAUCCUGUGAAAGAAAUUAUUUUUGUCAAAUUCACUUUUCACGUAUUCAUUUUUUUUUUUUUUUGUGGAUAAAUAAAACACAACAAUACGAAAUUAGGCGUCAAAUCUGGUAAAGGAGAUUUGUGGAUGCAUUGAUUCAAAUUAGUUCGAGGGUUUAAUUCCAUUAAUUAGAUUAUGAGCUACGCCGAAAAGAUAAGAUUUUACAACAUAGCAAACUAUAUUCAGCCUCCUCCACACAGAAUUACUGUAGAUUUGUCUUCCACUGCAUCCCGGUAUUGAACAUAGCAGCAAAAGAAUCAAAAAAAUAAAUGGAAAAAAGAAAAAAAGAAAAAAAAAA